rnacentral:rRNA from 1 species
GAUGAACGCUGACAGAAUGCUUAACACAUGCAAGUCUUUGGCGAAGCUGUGCUUGCACAGCCUAGCCAAGGCGGACGGGUGAGUAACGCGUAAGGAACUUGCCCUGCAGUCAGGGAUAACAGACGGAAGCGACUGAUAAGACCUGGUAAAGUCAGGCGGACUCAUGUCCAGCCUGAUGAAAAGAGAUGCUGCAGGAGAGCCUUGCGUCCUAUUAGCUUGUUGGUGGGGUAACGGCCCACCAAGGCGAUGAUAGGUAGCCGGCCUGAGAGGGUGGACGGCCACAAGGGGACUGAGAUGCGGCCCUUACGCCUACGGGGGGCAGCAGUGGGGAAUAUUGGACAAUGGGGGCAACACUGAUCCAGCAAUUCUGUGUGCACGAUGAAGGUUUUCGGAUUGUAAAGUGCUUUCAGCAGGGAAGAAAAAAAUGACGGUACCUGCAGAAGAAGCGACGGCUAAAUACGUG